UACGAGAGGCCCAAACGUUAUUCGGAUUUACUGGGCUUAAAGAGUUCGUAGGCGGUGCAGAAAGUGGGGUGUGAAAGCCCUCGGCUCAACCGAGGAAUUGCGCUCCAAACUACUGUACUCGAGGAAGCUAGAGGUGAGCAGAACAGAUGGUGGAGCGGUGAAAUGCGUAGAUAUCGCUUGGAACGCCGAAGGUGAAAACAGGUUGCUGGGGAUGUGCCGACGCUGAGACACGAAAGCCAGGGGAGCAAACGGG
rnacentral:rRNA from 1 species